UUGAACGCUGGCGGCAUGCCUUACACAUGCAAGUCGAACGGCAGCACGGGUGCUUGCACCUGGUGGCGAGUGGCGAACGGGUGAGUAAUACAUCGGAACAUGUCCUGUAGUGGGGAUAGCCCGGCGAAAGCCGGAUUAAUACCGCAUACGAUCUACGGAUGAAAGCGGGGGACCUUCGGGCCUCGCGCUAUAGGGUUGGCCGAUGGCUGAUUAGCUAGUUGGUGGGGUAAAGGCCUACCAAGGCGACGAUCAGUAGCUGGUCUGAGAGGACGACCAGCCACACUGGGACUGAGACACGGCCCAGACUCCUACGGGAGGCAGCAGUGGGGAAUUUUGGACAAUGGGCGAAGGCCUGAUCCAGCAAUGCCGCGUGUGUGAAGAAGGCCUUCGGGUUGUAAAGCACUUUUGUCCGGAAAGAAAUCCUUGGCUCUAAUACAGUCGGGGGAUGACGGUACCGGAAGAAUAAGCACCGGCUAACUACGUGCCAGCAGCCGCGGUAAUACGUAGGGUGCGAGCGUUAAUCGGAAUUACUGGGCGUAAAGCGUGCGCAGGCGGUUUGCUAAGACCGAUGUGAAAUCCCCGGGCUCAACCUGGGAACUGCAUUGGUGACUGGCAGGCUAGAGUAUGGCAGAGGGGGGUAGAAUUCCACGUGUAGCAGUGAAAUGCGUAGAGAUGUGGAGGAAUACCGAUGGCGAAGGCAGCCCCCUGGGCCAAUACUGACGCUCAUGCACGAAAGCGUGGGGAGCAAACAGGAUUAGGUACCCUGGUAGUCCACGCCCUAAACGAUGUCAACUAGUUGUUGGGGAUUCAUUUCCUUAGUAACGUAGCUAACGCGUGAAGUUGACCGCCUGGGGAGUACGGUCGCAAGAUUAAAACUCAAAGGAAUUGACGGGGACCCGCACAAGCGGUGGAUGAUGUGGAUUAAUUCGAUGCAACGCGAAAAACCUUACCUACCCUUGACAUGGUCGGAAUCCCGCUGAGAGGUGGGAGUGCUCGAAAGAGAACCGGCGCACAGGUGCUGCAUGGCUGUCGUCAGCUCGUGUCGUGAGAUGUUGGGUUAAGUCCCGCAACGAGCGCAACCCUUGUCCUUAGUUGCUACGCAAGAGCACUCUAAGGAGACUGCCGGUGACAAACCGGAGGAAGGUGGGGAUGACGUCAAGUCCUCAUGGCCCUUAUGGGUAGGGCUUCACACGUCAUACAAUGGUCGGAACAGAGGGUUGCCAACCCGCGAGGGGGAGCUAAUCCCAGAAAACCGAUCGUAGUCCGGAUUGCACUCUGCAACUCGAGUGCAUGAAGCUGGAAUCGCUAGUAAUCGCGGAUCAGCAUGCCGCGGUGAAUACGUUCCCGGGUCUUGUACACACC
rnacentral:rRNA from 1 species